UGUGCAGAUGAAAUGGGAUCCUUUCUCUUCCUGAUAGGCCUUACAAACCUGUUGCCAUGCCUCCCCAGGGCUCUAUCCUCUCUGGAACUAUGCGAUAACAUAAACUAUUUCUUUCCUAAUUGUUUUGUCUGAGUAUUCCAUCAAGCACCAGAAAUUAGAGCACCUUGGAGAGUUUUCCAUUCAUUUUGUGUGUGUGUGUGUGCCUUUGAGAUGUCAGUUAAGAAAAACUUCAUGACAGUUUUUUUUUUCAACCCAGUGCUGGAGCUGUUUGGGUUGAUCUGUGAGUCAUACCUUUGAAAUGUAAUCAUCAAGGAAGACAGUGGCCUUGUCUUCAGUUCUGUGAGGUCACAACACCUAACUUUCCUACCAGGCCCUUUAGUCCAGGUAACAAAAUCACCUCCUGUCAUGCCAUUAAGAGAAAACUUCCUGUUCCUUUGGGUUAAGCCAAUUAGCAAGCACUUAUGGCCUAGAGUCUCUGUUUCACUGCAGCUGUUAACCCUUCCAGCCUUUUGUUUCCAAAGAGCUCCCUGACUCUGUCCUUCCCCACUUAAGGAGAGAGCUUGUUUUUGUUCUGACACACAGACACACGGAUAUAUAAAGUAUAGAACUUGGUAUGUUUGGAGAUGAAUGAACAUGGCUGAAGCCACAGUCAUGCCACAGGUUCUCCAUCACCUCAUGAAUGGUUGCUCUUUUGUUGUUGCUGCUGAGGUUUCUUUUGCAUGGUUAGAUCUAGUCCCUUAGCAAAUUUUCAAGUAUAUAAUACAGUAUGCUUGAUCAAAGGCACUCUGAUGUACAGUGCCUUCCAGUAUUUGUUUUCUGGGACUUUAACUUUGCCCCCUGUGACCAGCAUCUCCCCCAUGUUAGCCUCUGGCCAUUACCACUCUCUGCUUUGCCUUUGCUUGCAAGUAAAUUCAUGUAGUCUCUCUCUCUCUCUCUCUCUCUCUCUCUCUCUCUCUCUCUCUCUCCAGCUGUUUAACCAAUAUUGUUUUUCUACUUUCAGUUAUACUUCUAGUCUAGCAGGUGCAUUUUUCCCUCCACCCCUACCUCCCCUCUUCUAUCUACCACUUCUUUGUUAAUAUUUUCAGUGCUUGGAAUUUAAAUCAGGGGUUAAUGCAUGCAAAGCAAGGGACCUGCUGUUGGGGUGGGUUUUCAGCCACUAUUUUCUCUCUAUCAAAUAGGUUAAGCUGAUCAUUGAUAGAGUUAUAAAGAUACAGGCCGUGCUCCUUGGAAUUGGACUCCAGAACCGUUGUUCAUGCUGUCUGCAUGGCGUGGAAAUUGUUGGUGUCUGGGAAUGGCUUGGUGACGGGUGCUUGUGGGAUCACCCAUUAUAUAUCAAGAGGAUCGGAUGCAGACACUUGAGCCACAACCUGAGUGCUAUAAACCUCCAGCCUCACUCUUAGGACACUACAUCUGCCAGAAGAGGCCCUUUGCUGGAAAAAUUCCACAACCUCCCAAAACAGCGCCACCACCUGGGGAUCAGGGAAAAUGUGAUCAGAAGUGAAGCAAAUAGCGUAAAAUGAAAACGGCUGCACCGCUUAGUGAAGAGACUGGAGAAGAACUGGGAGUUCUGAAAGGUAAGAUGCCUCUCCUGGAAACCCGUGCUUCUCAAGGCAGUGUGUUUUUCAGACAUGAAGCUGAACCAACCAUCUGUCUUCUGACCUCCUCGCAAGUCCUCCAGCUCUGCUGCCUGGGUCCAGUGCUUUUCCUACAACUAUCCAUCUGCACUUACUGUGUAAUGUGAAGACUUGUAUUUUCACAUUGCUGUAACAAGGCUAAAUCAUUUCAGAAAAUAGGUUUUCUCAAGAAAUUCAGAGCUCUGUAUUAAUCUUUUGUAGACCAAAUACAAAAUAAAGUCACAUUUUUUUUCAAAAAAGAAAAAGAGAGAGAAAUGUGCAAAAUUAUUCAAGGUGACAGAAGCACCUUCAACUCUCAUAUGCUAACAAUGCAAAUUCUUUAUGGAGUGACCUUGGAUCACAACAGUGAAAACAAUCUGUUGUAACACAUUUAGGCUACUGUAAGACUGCCAUGAAAAAGCCAGGGAAAAAAGAACCUUUAUUAAACU